rnacentral:rRNA from 20 species
AUGGUCGUUCAUACUAGCACUACUGCACCCUAACCCGUCAGAUCUAGGAAGUUAAGCGUGCUCAGGCGAGGCCAGUAGUACGGUGGGUGACCACGUGCGAAGCCCUCGUGACGAUCGU